ACCUGGGAAGCACGCAGGACGGACGGACGGGAUGAGUAAAGCUCAGGACCUCCGAGACGUCUCACUUUCACCAUUCAUUCGGGGCGCUGGGAGGUGGAGGCCUCAGCAUUUCCUAACUUAUUUUUUUAUGAAGCACUCGCCUCACCCAGUAGACUGAGAGUGUGCUCCCCGUUGACCUCAGCUCAGAAAGAAGGGAAGUCUGAUGCUAAGCUCCUCUUCCUCUACCACGGGCUCCACGCACCCCAAGACCCCCCGGGAGGUCCCGAUCCUCCUUCAGAACCAGAGCACAAGGACCGUCUUUCAUGCUCUUUUCUUGGUAGAACCUGACCUGUUGCAGAGCCGAGCGCCCCGCCUCUGUCUUGGGCACGUGACAGUCAGCCCUCAGGAACUUAGGUCCAGACCAAUAACGGACUUGUUGGCAUCCCCUCAUCUCCCAGUUAUGAAUUCCUUGGGUUCCGUGUGUCUCUACGUUCCAGUUGGUAGCACCUAACGAGUCUGCUGAAUGGAUUUUCCCUUAGUUUGAAUCCCUGCCUGGUUUGGCCAUAAGAAAACAAAUACCAUUCAUGGGGUGUGUGACAUAGACGCUGGUGCUCCCCAAUUAUUCCAUGAGAUCCUGCAUAUUUUCCAGCCUUCCUGGCACUUAGCAUGGAGCCAGGUGACAAAUUUAAGUUCACGGGCUCAAGGGGGAGUGAAGCAAUGCACAGCACUUGCCACCCGAGGACAUCGAGGAGGCUGAAAGCUGCACGCAUCUGCCGCGGUGGCUGGAAGCGAAGAACGCUGAGACGGUGAAGGGGCCACAGGGAGCAUUGCUAAGCGCACCACUGCUGAAAGGCGGCCACCAGAGAGGAUGGGCUGACCUGUAUCAGACUGCUCCGAAAGUGACAAAUAAGCCUCUGGCUUUGGAGGUUUGCUGCCACAGCAAAACUUAGCUUUACCCUGACCAACCGCGGGUGAGUUUCACAAGCUGAAAGUGUAAGGAGGAGACAAGCCCGUGGAAUAUGACAGCAUCACCGCGGGUGAGUUUCACAAGCUGAAAGUGUAAGGAGGAGACAAGCCCGUGGAAUAUGACAGCAUCACUGGCUAGCAACAUCUUCUGAUAUCCUGGAAUUAGUCGGGAUGGGCCAUGGAUCUGGAUCUGAAACUUUUAAAUCGAAAUGGGGACAAGAGCAUCCCUAUGACGUCAUUGGAGAAUCUGAGGCAUAGAGAAGCGAAGGGAUGGGCUUCUCGGAUUAGGAGUGAGCGAAGCAUGAGAACAGAGACCUCAAUUUCCCCUGGGCUGUUUCCCACCCUUCCUAGUUGGGAUUUCUCCUCCCCCAGCAUUUGUGCCCUUUGAGUUAGUAUUCUAGGCAUGAGACUGACCUAUUUCGAAGUGGGACAGGUUGGCGUCUCUAAAGCGGGUUCCACAGAAGACUCUGUUUUGAAGCAACAUGGUGGUAAAGAGGUUAACACUGAAUGGGAGUUUUACUUCCAGGCAGGGAUCUCGAGCCCUGGUGGAAAGACUGCAGCUGCCCUGUGGCCCAGAUAAUGCAACAUCGGGCUGAGCAAGGACAUCUGAGAACAUUCUGUUCUCCUCCCCCGAGACCAAUUAAAAUCUGGAGGCAUCUUUCUUGUUGAUCGAGCUGACUAACUAAUUGAAACGGAAUUGUGAUAUUUUCAUCAGCUUUCUCUUAUCCCUCUUGGCCUUGCCAGCAGAGAGCAAGUUGAAUGAUCAGAGAGUUUCAAGCAUGUGAGGCCCAGGGAACGGAACCCCUCUCACCGUAAACCACUACAUUUCCACGGAACAAGGUUCGAAAAAGGAUGAUGCGGGGUCGAGAGUAGGGCGAUACGCUCAAAUCUCAGUCUCAGUUCAUCCAGAUACCAAAGAUACCAUCUUCGGGAUUCCUGAUGAACCAUAAAGCUGUCCUUCAGCAGUUGCUGCUCCAAUAAACCAGCUUCUGACCUCUGCCUUCCUAACGAACAUCCCUCUGCCUGACUGCGGAAGCUCCUAGAAACAAAGAACCAAACGCCUCUGAGGCCCAACAAGAUCCCUUUCCUUCCAUUGAGCUAGAAUGUAUUUCCUCGGCACGUGCAAAUGGCCUAGUGGUUAAUCUUAGCAAUUGUCCCAAAGGACAUCCAAGCCUCUGGGAAUGGGUUACAUGAUUGAGAUUGCAGGACCUUUUUCUGCUUCAGCAUGAAGACCUGCAUGUUAGCAUUUGUGAGGAGAGCUCAAGAUGGGGGGAAGUCCUCUUGGCUCCUGAUCUAAGGAAGAGCUGCGUCUUAAGCAUUGGUAGAAUUGCUCAUGUGUCCAGUGUGAGGUGGCCUUGGCUGACAAGCUAUCAAAAUAAAUAAAUAACAAGAAAAUGG
rnacentral:lncRNA from 1 species